rnacentral:rRNA from 1 species
GUACACGCUGUGACUAGCAUAUCAAUAAGCGGAGGAAAAGCAACUAACAAGGAUUCCCCUAGUAACGGCGAGUGAGGCGGGAAGAGCUCAAAUUUGAAAUCUUAAAGGGUUUCCCUUUACGAAUUGUAGUUUAAAGAAGUGUUUUCUGUUGAGGUUUUGGUAAAAGUUCUUUGGAAUAGGACAUCAUAGAGGGUGAGAAUCCCGUAUUUGACCUUUACUUUCAACUUUGUGAUACACUUUCAAAGAGUCGGAUUGUUUGGGAAUGCAGUCCAAAAUGGGUGGUAAAUUUCAUCUAAAGCUAAAUAUUGGCGAGAGACCGAUAGCGAACAAGUGCCGUGAGGGAAAGAUGAAAAGAACUUUGAAAAGAGAGUUAAACAGUACGUGAAAUUGUCAAAAGGGAAGCGUUUGACACCAGUGUUGUUUUUCUGAAAAUCAAUUAAAGAACUGUUUAUGCUAAGUUGUUUAGACUUUAUCAGCUAACUGUUUAGUUUUGAGCUUUUCUUUAAUGCACUUUUCAGUUAACAAGUCAACAUCAAUUUCUUUUGCUGUAAAAAAGCUUGAGGAAGGUGGCUUGAGAUUCGUCCUUAAGUGUUUAUAGCCUCUUGCCUAUGCAGUCGGAGAGAUUGAGGUCUGCAGCGUAGAUCCUUCGGGGCUAAAUGCAUCUGUGCUAAGUUAUAGCAUUUUAUAGACAACUUGUUGACUAUGAUUUGUCUUGUAGCUUACUCGCUUAUGUUAUUUUACCUACGCUUAGGAUAUUGACGCGCGUGUGUGCGUG